rnacentral:rRNA from 1 species
UACGAAGGGGGCUAGCGUUGUUCGGAAUUACUGGGCGUAAAGCGCACGUAGGCGGAUAUUUAAGUCAGGGGUGAAAUCCCAGAGCUCAACUCUGGAACUGCCUUUGAUACUGGGUAUCUUGAGUAUGGAAGAGGUGAGUGGAAUUCCGAGUGUAGAGGUGAAAUUCGUAGAUAUUCGGAGGAACACCAGUGGCGAAGGCGGCUGACUGGACACAUAUUGACGCUGAGGCUCGAAAGCAUGGGGAGCAAACAGG